UGAGUACGAGAUGCUACGGCAUCGAAGCAGUCUAUGUCAUACUUCCAAGAAAAGCUUGCACUGUCAGAAACAGAUAAUGCCUGUACCAUAACCGACACAGGUGGGUAGGUAGAGUAUACUAAGGGGCGCGAGAUAACUCUCUCUAAGGAACUCGGCAAAAUGACUCCGUAACUUCGGGAGAAGGAGUGCCUUAUUUUUAAGGUUGCAAUAACAAGAUCCAAGCAACUGUUUACCAAAAACACAGGUCUCCGCUAAGUCGUAAGACGAUGUAUGGGGGCUGACGCCUGCCCAGUGCCAGAAGGUUAAAGAAGUCGGUUAGCAUUCGCGAAGCUGGUAACUGAAGCCCUGGUGAACGGCGGCCGUAACAAUAACGGUCCUAAGGUAGCGAAAUUCCUUGUCGGGUAAGUUCCGACCCGCACGAAAGGCGUAAUGAUUUGGAUACUGUCUCGGAGAGGGGCUCGGUGAAAUAGACUUGUCUGUGAAGAUGCGGACUACCUGCACCUGGACAGAAAGACCCUAUGAAGCUUUACUGUAACUUGAAAUUGAAAUUGGACUUUAUUUGCGCAGUAUAGGUGGGAGGCGUUGAAAAUAUUCUUGCGGGAAUAUUGGAGCCAUCAGUGAGAUACCACUCUUGUAAUGUUAGAUUUCUAACUUUAUAUCAUUAUCUGGAUAAAGAACAGUUUCAGGCGGGCAGUUUGACUGGGGCGGUCGCCUCCCAAAUGGUAACGGAGGCGCACAAAGGUUUCCUCUGAACGGGUAGAAAUCGUAUCUAGAGUGUAAAGGCAUAAGGAAGCUUGACUGUGAGACCUACAAGUCGAGCAGGGACGAAAGUCGGUCUUAGUGAUCUGACGGUGCUGAGUGGAAAGGCCGUCACUCAACGGAUAAAAGUUACUCUAGGAUAACAGGCUGAUCUCCCCCAAGAGUUCACAUCGACGGGGAGGUUUGGCACCUCGAUGUCGGCUCAUCGCAUCCUGGGGCGGUAGUACGACCCAAGGGUUGGGCUGUUCGCCCAUGAAAGCGGUACGCGAGCUGGGUUCAGAACGUCGUGAGACAGUUCGGUCCAUAUCCGGUGUAGGCGUUAGAAUAUUGAGAGGAGCCUUCUUUAGUACGAGAGGACCGAGAAGGACAUACCUCUGGUGUACCAGUUAUCGUGCCAACGGUAAACGCUGGGUAGCUAUGUAUGGAGUGGAUAACCGCUGAAAGCAUCUAAGUGGGAAGCCCACCUCAAGAUAAGUAUUCC
rnacentral:rRNA from 1 species